GACGAACGCUGGCGGCGUGCCUAAUACAUGCAAGUCGAACGAACGGAUUGAGGAGCUUGCUCUUCAUGAAGUUAGUGGCGGACGGGUGAGUAACACGUGGGUAACCUGCCCUUCAGUGGGGGAUAACAUUCGGAAACGGAUGCUAAUACCGCAUAUUUCUAAUCGUCUCCUGACGAAUGGAAGAAAGGUGGCUUCGGCUACCGCUUAUGGAUGGACCCGCGGCGUAUUAGCUAGUUGGUGGAGGUAAUGGCUCACCAAGGCGAUGAUACGUAGCCGACCUGAGAGGGUGAUCGGCCACACUGGGACUGAGACACGGCCCAG
rnacentral:rRNA from 1 species